AUCUCUGCCCCAUCUUCAUUGUCCUCUUUAGGAGAAUCAGGCCUUGGAAGAUACUGCAAAAGUUCCCGGAGGAGCAGCAACCACAUUGCAGGAAGGUGCACAGCUGGACGUAGCAGUGGUAAGAUUUCCAGCAUCAUACGUUGCACAGGUGGAACAUGCCCCUGGAGCAAAUCAAGGUUUUGAACUACCCUUUUUUAAUAAUAUAAAUAAAAAAAUCAGAAACAAAACACUUCAAAUCAUUGAAUAAGGUUGAGUGUUUCGAAUAUUGAAGGUGCACAGCUGGACGUAAUAGUGGUAAGCUUUCCAGCAUUGUACAUUGCACAGGUGGAACAUGCCACUGGAGCAAAUCAAAGCUUUGAACUUCCUUUUUUUAAAAAUAAAAAAUAAAAAAUAAUUAUUAUAAAAAACAAAAAACAAACACUUAAGUGUCCUUUUGGAUGCACUUCCUAUUUUCCGUUUUUAAAAAUAAAAAGUAGUAGUAACCUUCUAUAUAAAAUGUAAGAACUCUUAAAGGCUUAUAUUG
rnacentral:lncRNA from 1 species